rnacentral:rRNA from 1 species
UUGGUUUCUAUGUGGCUAAAUACGUUAACAAAAAGUCAGAUAUGGACCUUGCUGCUAAAGGUCUAGGAGCUAAAGAAUGGAACAACUCACUAAAAACCAAGCUGUCGCUACUUCCCAAGAAGCUGUUCAGAAUCAGAAUGAGCCGCAACUUCGGGAUGAAAAUGCUCACAAUGACAAAUCUGUCCACGGAGUGCUU